UGUGCUGGGGGCUGGUUCCAGGGCACAGAGAUGAGCCCUCGUGCCCACCCCCCAAAACAGGAAUACUGUAGUGGAGUUGAGUGGCAGUCAGUUCAGCAACAGAGCUAGCCCAAGAAGUCAUAGGAAUAGAAUGAGGAAUGACUAGUGCAAGCUUCAGGGCUUGGGAAUUCCUGCAAUUUCCCCAGAAGACAUAGCUGGGCUCAAGCCAAGCCUUGAAGGAUAUGAAGGUGUGAAAUGAAACCUGGAAGGAGGAUUUGCGCAAGCAGGGCCCUGUGUGGCUCUACCCUUCUGUGAUAGACACUUUCGUACCCAACUCUUUUAUUCUGCAAGGAGGGCCUGGUUCCUAUUCCCCCAGUAUGGAUACUGUGGCUCAGGGAGGUGAUGACUUCAGAGGUGGCUCCCUGGGUGAUCUAGAAACUUGAAGGAUCAUGAGUAACCUCAAAUGGGUGAGGACCCAAUCUCUAGAGCAGAGUUACUCAACUGCAGCAUCAUUCAUAUUUGGGACUGGAUCAUUCUUUGCUGGGGGGUUGGGGGUCCCAUAAAUUUAGAAUAUUGAGCAGCAUUCCUGGCUUCCACCCACCAGAUGCCAAUAGCACCCACCCCUCAAAUUGUGACAACCAAAAAUGCCUCCAGACAUACUGUGUGUCCCUUGAGGGCAGAAUUGCCAACAGUAAGAGCCUCUGCUCUAUCGUAAAAUCUGGCUGCUGCCCCAGGCCCACCAUUGCCUCGGUGGAUCUUUGGAGUAAGUUGAGCUCCUUGCAAGCUGCUGUCAAGAGCAGGAGUGGGGAAAAGAGGUCAGCAAGCGAAUUCUGCCCUCCAGACAGUUCUUAAUCUGGAGACUCGAUAAAAAGGAGGCACCACUGGGAACGGACUGAGGGGGAGUUGGACAACACACAUCCAGAAUGGACAGCAGAGGAGGAACAGGAGAUGAGCGGGGGCUGUCUGCAUUCGCCCAGACAACCAUGCCAUUGUCUUUCCCUUCUUUGUCUUACCACUGACCUGGAUUUCUGCAGGAACCGUCCUUGCCUUGGCACAAGUUGUUGCUUUUCUUCUGAGAUUAGAGAUGCCAGUCCAUCUUUAAGACAAAAAAAAAUGUUAGACAAAUUGUCUAACUUUUGCGCCUAGUGCAUGCUUCUCCGCUUGUUCCCCAACUGUGACAUUGCUGCGGUAACUCCAUGAGAGGAAAUGCACGUUCUAGGGCCUUCCCGAGCCCUUGUGGGCGAUGUCCCUCCUCCCCUUCUUCCCCACCCACCAGCCCUUUGUAUGUCCCCAAGUCCCCAACCAACUGUGCCAGGCAGCCCCUGCUCGCCUCCCCACAGAGCAAGACAGGCCCUUCUCUCUGUCCUCCUGGAUAGAGGGAGUCGCAGAACAAAGGGUUCUGUCUGAGCACUGCCAGGGCCCUGAAGAGCCAGCCUGCUGCCGGCCACUGCACAGAGCCCCCUCACUUCACCUCUCCAGUUUUCAUUUUGUCCCAGAAAGGGCCUCAGAGAGUCGGCAUGUCUCAGAAACGCAGGGAUGAGUUUGGGUUCUACUCAUUUCCUCGUCGAGACUUUCUUUCCUCGGCGGAUCCCAAUGAUAAAUAAAGUGGUGAUUCAAGCA